UGAACACUGGGUUCUUAGAAGCUGGAAUAGUAAUUUCUGCGCCUGUUUGUGGAUUGCGGCCUUUUCUUUCUUCGCGAGUUUUCACUUCGAAAGUACCAAAGCCGAUAAUCUGCACUUUAUCAUCGAGCACCAAAGCUUCUUCAAU
rnacentral:sRNA from 2 species